rnacentral:pre_miRNA from 1 species
AGUGGGAUAGCUGGGUCAAAUGGUGGUUCCAUUCCAAGUUUUCUGAGGAAUCUCCAUACUACUUUCCAGGGUGGUUUCACCAAUGUGCAAUCCCACCACCAAU